UGCCAGCCGCCGCGGUAAUACGGAGGGUGCAAGCGUUGUUCGGAAUUAUUGGGCGUAAAGCGCGUGUAGGCGGUUCGUUAAGUCUGAUGUGAAAGCCCGGGGCUCAACCCCGGAAGUGCAUUGGAAACUGGCGAACUUGAGUACGGGAGAGGAAAGUGGAAUUCCCGGUGUAGCGGUGAAAUGCGUAGAGAUCGGGAGGAACACCAGUGGCGAAGGCGGUUCCCUGGACCACAACUGACGCUGAGGCGCGAAAGCGUGGGUAGCGAAAAGGAUUAGAUA
rnacentral:rRNA from 1 species